rnacentral:rRNA from 1 species
GGGACUUGUAUGAAUGGCCACACGAGGGCUUUACUGUCUCUUACUUCCAAUCCGUGAAAUUGACCUUCCCGUGAAGAGGCGGGAAUACAACAAUAAGACGAGAAGACCCUAUGGAGCUUCAAUUAAUCGACUCAAAGAGACUCCACUAACUAACCGACAGGAACAACAAACCUCUACAUGAGCCGACAAUUUAGGUUGGGGUGACCUCGGAGAACAAAACAACCUCCGAGUGAUUUAAAUCUAGACUAACCAGUCAAAAGUAUUACAUCACUUAUUGAUCCAAAAACUUGAUCAACGGAACAAGUUACCCUAGGGAUAACAGCGCAAUCCUAUUUCAGAGUCCAUAUCGACAAUAGGGUUUACGAC